AGAGUUUGAUCCUGGCUCAGAUUGAACGCUGGCGGCGUGCUUAACACAUGCAAGUCGAACGUGAAAGUCCUUCGGGGCGAGUAAAGUGGCGCACGGGUGAGUAACGCGUGGAUAAUCUACCCUUAAGAUGGGGAUAACGGCUGGAAACGGUCGCUAAUACCGAAUACGCUCCCGAUUUUAUCAUUGGGGGGAAAGAUGGCCUCUGCUUGCAAGCUAUCGCUUAAGGAUGAGUCCGCGUCCCAUUAGCUAGUUGGCGGGGUAACGGCCCACCAAGGCAACGAUGGGUAGCCGGUCUGAGAGGAUGACCGGCCACACUGGAACUGGAACACGGUCCAGACUCCUACGGGAGGCAGCAGUGGGGAAUAUUGCGCAAUGGGCGAAAGCCUGACGCAGCGACGCCGCGUGAGGGAUGAAGGUUCUCGGAUCGUAAACCUCUGUCAGGGGGGAAGAAACCCCCUCGUGUGAAUAAUGCGAGGGCUUGACGGUACCCCCAAAGGAAGC
rnacentral:rRNA from 1 species